AUAUAGACAUGUGGGGGGGGUUCCAAAUGCAUGACAUGAACCAUUUUAAUUUUACUUGUUUAUUGCACUAAUUAAGGUAAGGAGAAGAAGUUUCAUACAAAAAAAAUACUUGAAAGUAUUUUUCGUAGAUUUUCAAACGGGUCAAUUUGACCCUGAAUGUAACAGGACGGUUAAAAAAGCACAUACUUUUAAAAGACUUCAAAUUGUCAAAGCUCAAGAAAUUGCGUUUUUCAAGGAUGGUACAGUGGUGGUAACGUGAAGUUGGUCAAAAGUUAGGCCGUGACCCUCAGAACAACACUGGUCUUGGUGUGGAGGACCAUGAAGGAAUUUCUUAGGAUUCAACUUGGCAUUUUGGGCUGUUUUCUCACUUUUAUCGUGAAACAAUCUGCACAUCUGUAAAGAGCUUGUACUCUGUAUUAAAUGAUUGUCUUUAUGUAUACUUUGAUGCAGGUAUACAAUCGAACUUGUCAAAUGGGGUAUAAUUGUAUUUUCACAUUUCCCGUCAUUGAAAUAUAUAGUUGACAGUUUCACAGUCCUGUCGAGAAAGCUUUUUUAAAUGUUAACAAUGCUUUGGAACAUAUUUUCCGAUAAAUCCUGAAACUUAGAUGGUAACACUAAUAGCUUUUCAUAUCAUCUCUCUUUAGUUCCUCUUACUACUGUCCAAUGCAUAUAUUAGUAUACUUCUGUUUUGCAACUGCUGCCAAACGUGGAACUUCAGCAAUGAGAAAUGCAAACAACCAGUUGUUCUUGUUUGACACGCGAGAGUCCUGACUCAGUGUAGGUGGGGUGAUCAGCUGGUUGCCGUCGUGAUACAGCUUGAAAACUUCGGUGUAAAAAAGGGAGACUGUAUGAAUCCUCGGAUGGACAACCGAACAGAGGACACUGCAUGUACUCAAGGGCUCUGCUCGCCCGGAUACUACCCCUAGUGGAAAACCAAGAAAAGAGGGAGCCAAGCGGCAGAGACCCGUACCAUGAAGUGGAAACACACUACAUUUCAGCUACUUCUAAAUGGUUUUUCCAGCUGGAUCUCCUCCUCCUCCUCCUCCUCUUCCCCCUUUAUGUUGCCCACAUCCUGGUACUGGCCAUGUGUCUGGGGAC